AUAUGGCAGAGAUGUCAUAGCGGGUAAAACGUCUGUAUACAGGUGGUGCAUGGUUGUCGUCAGCUCGUGUCGUGAGAUGUUGGGUUAAGUCCCGCAACGAGCGCAACCCUCGUUCUGUGUUGCCAGCAUUUAGUUGGGGACUCACAGGAGACUGCCGGGGUUAACUCGGAGGAAGGUGGGGAUGACGUCAAAUCAUCAUGCCCCUUAUGUCUUGGGCUGCACGCAUGCUACAAUGGCUGGUACAAAGGGCUGCAAUACUGCAAAGUGGAGCGAAUCCCAAAAAGCCAGUCUCAGUUCGGAUUGGGGUCUGCAACUCGACCCCAUGAAGUCGGAGUUGCUAGUAAUCGUAGAUCAGCAACGCUACGGUGAAUACGUUCCCGGGGCUUGUACACACCGCCCGUCACGUCACGA
rnacentral:rRNA from 1 species